rnacentral:lncRNA from 1 species
ACAAGUUUGACUAUUUUUGUUCGGUGGUAUUUGUGAAUGGCAAUCGGCGUCCAACGCGAACAAAGGAGCAUAGAUCUCUCAUCGCCGUUUCUCUUCUUCCUCUUCUCGCCUCUCAGCCAGCGGGAACAGAGGAGGGGGAAAUUGGGCUGAUUUAGCGAUCGGUGAAGGGAGGAGAGAACUCCAUUACUGUCGGCACUGCUCACCUCCUUCUUCUCAUCGGGGAAAAGGGGCCCGGCGUUGUGAUCGGCUACCCCCAUUUUUUUUCCUCUCCAUCGGCGAAGGGAGGGAGCGAAGGGGGAGAAACAGUAAAGAAGAAACAUCAAGAAACGCAACAGUGAAACUGCGCGCAGCCUUAUGCGGCUCCGUUCCCUCUGCUCUUCUCCUCUUUGUGGAACAGAGGGGAAGAGGUUGGGGUAGAUCGGNN